CCACGGCUGCCACUCUACGCAGCCGGACCGGAUUUCUCAGGCUGGAGAAGCUACUCUGCGCGUCUUCGUGAAGGAGAACUCUUGCGUUCUGCUAGCCAGGGUCCCAGCUCCGACCCUGCUAGUUAGGACAAAGCUCUAGGAGGUGUCUAAGGGGGUGGGGGGAACCGUAAAGGGGAAACACUCGAGAUCCGGAAGUGGCGCUCCGGGGAGAAGGUGGCUGCGGCUGCUGGGGCCGCUGCGCCGGCGGCGGUUCCCGAUGUGGAGGUCCGUCUUGGGUGGGGAGGCACCCAGGUCGCUGGUUCGAUGCAGAGGAAGAAACCACACCUAGCACGUAAAGCCCUGAAAAAAUAGAGGUGUACAGUAGAGUUUUCCAGAGGCUACAUGACAUGCAGUAUCACAACGGAAGCAAAUAUAAGAACCCACCUGUCUCCUGUUAAAAUGCAAAAUGUAAAACAAUACCACUUUGCUAACUGUUUUUGUUUGGGGAAAUAUAGUUCAUAAAAAUAUUUAUGUUAACAUGUAAUUUAGGUUAAAAUAAAUUAAUAAAUAUUUGUAAAUUGUCUGUUUUAAUUUCUAAUAUGGUAAAUACAGAUAGAUAUAACCCAUAUAAACAAAACCUGUUUGGGGUCCUCAAUAAUAUUGAAGAGUGUUAUACAGGGGUCCUAAGGCCAAAGAAUUUGAUAAUGCUGCUCUAAGUCUUCCUUAUCCAUUAAAGUCCAAAUGAAAGCUGGGAACAGUAGCUAAUGCCUGUAACCCCAGUGCUUUGGGAGGCCGACAUAGGAGGAUUACUUGAGGCCAGGAGUUUGAGACCAGACAGGGCAACAUACGGAGACCCUGUUGCUACAAAAAUAAAUUUAAAACGUAGUUGGUCAUGGUGGCACAUGUCUGUAGUCCUAACUACUUGGGAGGCUGAGGCAGGAAGAUCACUUGAGCCUAGGAGCUUGAGGCUGCUAUGAUCCCGCCACUGCACUCCAGCCUGGGUGACAAAGCAAGACCCUGUCUCUGAAAAAAUAAAUAAAAUAGUUUUAAACUUAGAAAAAAAAGGUUCAUGUCAAAGCCUUCCUACUCGAUAAGACUUUUUGACCACUGCAACUAGAGAGGAUCUUGUCUGUCUCUGAAUACUACACACUUAUGGCACUUACACACUUAUGGCUCUUUUUUAUCAUUCAUCUAGUACAGACCUUGUGCCAAAAAGGAAUAUUGUUAUGUGGAUUCAGAGUGAUAAUUAAAGACAUGUGUUUGAUGGUGAAUCAUAAACAACCCUUUUACUUCGCAGUCUCUCUGAUUAGUCUUCCCAGC
rnacentral:lncRNA from 1 species